rnacentral:rRNA from 1 species
UGACCUGCGGAGGAUCAUUACUAGAGCAAAGGAUAGACAGCGCCCGCGGAGCUCGCUCCCGGGGCUACCCUACUCCCGUAGGGUUUAGAGUCGUCGGGCCUCUCGGAGAAGCUCGGUCCUGAACUCCACCCUUGAAUAAACUACCUCUGUUGCUUUGGCGGGCCGCCUCGUGCCAGCGGCUUCGGCUGUUGAGUGCCCGCCAGAGGACCCCAACUCUUGUUUUUAGUGAUGUCUGAGUACUAUAUAAUAGUUAAAACUUUCAACAACGGAUCUCUUGGUUCUGGCAUCGAUGAAGAACGCAGCGAAAUGCGAUAAGUAAUGUGAAUUGCAGAAUUCAGUGAAUCAUCGAAUCUUUGAACGCACAUUGCGCCCUCUGGUAUUCCGGGGGGCAUGCCUGUUCGAGCGUCAUUAUAACCACUCAAGCUCUCGCUUGGUAUUGGGGUUCGCGGUUUCGCGGCCCCUAAAAUCAGUGGCGGUGCCUGUCGGCUCUACGCGUAGUAAUACUCCUCGCGAUUGAGUCCGGUAGGUCUACUUGCCAGCAACCCCUAAUUUUUUUUAAGGUUGACCUCGGAUCAGGUAGGGAUACCCGCUGAACUUAAGCAUAUCAAUAAGCGGAGGAAAAGAAACCAACAGGGAUUACCUCAGUAACGGCGAGUGAAGCGGUAACAGCUCAAAUUUGAAAGCUGGCUCUUUUAGGGUCCGCGUUGUAAUUUGUAGAAGAUGCUUCGGGUGUGGCCCCGGUCUAAGUUCCUU